UACGUAGGGGGCUAGCGUUGUCCGGAAUCAUUGGGCGUAAAGCGCGUGUAGGCGGCCCGGUAAGUCCGCUGUGAAAGUCGGGGGCUCAACCCUCGGAUGCCGGUGGAUACUGUCGGGCUCGAGUACGGAAGAGGCGAGUGGAAUUCCUGGUGUAGCGGUGAAAUGCGCAGAUAUCAGGAGGAACACCAAUUGCGAAGGCAGCUCGCUGGGACGUAACUGACGCUGAGGAGCGAAAGCCAGGGGAGCAAACGGG
rnacentral:rRNA from 1 species